UAAAUGGUGUGACCCACCUGAGUUUCAGAUACGGCUGAUCAGGGACCUACGAAACGCACUGCGUGGAUGUCCAUCACACAUCCGGUGGGGCCCCAUCAUAUCAGUGGUGUGGAUCACCGAAACAUGGGCACUGUUUGGACGGUCCGUGAUCACAGGAAUCAGGACACCAGUCUUCAAGACUGUACAACCGGCUCCAUGCUGACUUAGUAUGCAACCCCAUCUUUUCCAUCCACGUGUCACUUCUAGAGGUCAUCUGAGCCAAGCAGACGGUGGGCCCCACACUGGAUUUCAGCUGGAUAAAAAAUCAUACCGGCCCACUUAUCAAGUUGGCCAUACCAUCAAAGUAAUCAGACCACCGACGGUCUAAACCGACACACAGGUGUGUCCCACCUAAUAUGAUGAACCGUCCCGAUUUUCCACACAGACGAAAAUCAAGCUGCAUGCCGAGGUAGCAUACAGCCGGUUGUAGGUGAUCAGCUCUCUUUUUCUAAAAUGAGAUAGUUUUGCCCCCACGCAGAGAUGGUCCGAUGAUCUGAACCGUACAAUUUCAGGAAGCUACUCUAUGCUGACCACAGUAAGAAAUUCAUCCUAAACGGAUUAUAAUGACCGUCUAUCUGUAGUAAAGUUGAUUGUGGACCGUCGAAUAGAAAAAAUAAAAUAA